rnacentral:misc_RNA from 1 species
CAUGGGAUUUGAGAACAUUUGUUCCUACGAAGCGUAGUCUCGAAGACCUUUUUCCUCGGUUGUAUCAGUAGCUUUGCCAUUGCUUAUCACUUUUCUCAAGUUUCAAUUUCUGAAUCCUAGGAUUUUGAUCAAUAAAAAAAAUUUCCAGAAUGAAUAAACAUUCCUUGUGAUUCAACUUUGAAAUCCAAUCUUAAUUUUUUUAUGUUCCAAGAAUGCCACUCUCCAACAAGAUAAUGUUUUACAAUUCAGCAGUCAAAUGCUGGUAAAAGCGUGAGGCAACCUUGUUCAAAUUGGCAACCUUUCUCCGAGAUCUGGG